AUGGAGUUCUUUUGGCAAGAAUCCCUCCAUGGGUCUUAACAGAAAAGCCAUUUCAGUUGGAGUUUGAAGAGAGGAAAAUCAUUUAGCUCCCAAAAAAAAAAAAAAAAAAAACUACCUUCUAUUGUUCCUCUUCCCUCUCUGCUCUCUCCAACAGAACACUCAAAAAAAAAAAAAAAAAACAGUUUGCCAGUGCCUACCCAAUGAAACUCCCUCCCGCUGGUCCAACAGACACCGAAUCGGGAAAGUCGAAGGAAGCGAGAUGCCAUCGGGGUGGUGAUCAGGAGGAGAUUCUUGGAUGGUCACUGGUGAACCGGCAAGUCACACAACGGCAAUGGACUCCGAGAGUCUU
rnacentral:sRNA from 1 species